CCGGGUUCACGCCAUUCUCCCGUGUUCACGCCAUUCUCCCGCCUCAGCCUCCCGAGUAGCUGGGACUACAGGCGUCCGCCAUCACACCCAGCUAAUUUUUCGUAUUUUUAGUAGAGACGUGUUAGCCAGGAUGGUCUCUAUCUCUUGACCUCGUGAUCCGUCCGCCUCGGCCUCCCAAAGUGCUGGGAUUACAGGCGUGAGCCACCGCGCCUGGCCUUUUAUUUCUAUUCUUUUAGUAGUCUAGAAGAGGACUGCCAUUUAUUUUUAAUGCUGUGUCGGUAAUGCUGCUAGAAAUAUUCUUCACGUGUCAAAUGGUGCACCGAUGCAAGAGAUUUCUACCACGUAAACCCAAAACUGAAGUUGCUGUAUUGUAAGUGUUGAGGUGAGCAAGUUCUACAGCAGGCAGAUCAGCAAAUGGAUGAGGAAUGGUGGUGCCUUAGACCAGCCUGAUAACAGGAGAAGUGUUUGCAUACCAGAUACAUGUUGAAGAUGGGAAAAAAAUCAUGUUUGCGUGCUGACAGGAAGUAGGAAGCGGAAAAUUUGAUAAUACAGUAAGAAGAGGGGAAAAGCUCUCUGUAGCAGCGUCCUGGAGUCGGAGAUAAAGUGUGGAUGGACGAUCCAACCCUCGUAAAGUGAGGAAAGGCAGAGUUAAUAGGCACAGAUGGAGUAUGGCUUGGAGAGAGUUCUGGGGUGGUGAUGCUUUGCAAAGAAAAAUCAUGAAGGAGAUCAUCAGAACACAUCAUUUGCCUGCUAUCCAAUAUCUUGUUGGAUCUGAACUGAAGGAUUCAUAAGACAGUUAUUAAUGGCUAAUAUUUCAAAAGAAGAGACUUUUCUUGUUAACAUAAUGUAUCAAUAAAAAUAUUUCUCAAAGUAUUAAGCUUAUCCAAUGACAAUGUUUUGCUUAGAUAAAUUGGGUCAGCAUAUAUAUUUUCUGCAACAGCUAAUCAAAAUAUUUUAAUAAGCAUAAGAAUUCCAC
rnacentral:lncRNA from 10 species